rnacentral:misc_RNA from 1 species
GAUGAAGAACGUAGCGAAAUGCGAUACGUAAUGUGAAUUGCAAAUUCAGUGAAUCAUCGAGUCUUUGAACGCACAUUGCGCCCCCUGGUAUUCCGGGGGGCAUGCCUGUCCGAGCGUCAUUGCUGCCCUCAAGCACGGCUUGUGUGUUGGGCCCCGUCCUCCGAUUCCGGGGGACGGGCCCGAAAGGCAGCGGCGGCACCGCGUCCGGUCCUCGAGCGUAUGGGGCUUUGUCACCCGCUCUUGUAGGCCCGGCCGGCGCUUGCCGACACAUCAAUCUUUUUUCCAGGUUGACCUCGGAUCAGGUAGGGAUACCCGCUGAACUUAAGCAUAUCAAUAGCGGAGGA